rnacentral:rRNA from 1 species
UACGAAGGGGGCUAGCGUUGUUCGGAAUUACUGGGCGUAAAGGGCGCGCAGGCGGCCCUCCAAGUCAGGCGUGAAAGCCCCGGGCUCAACCCGGGAACAGCGCUUGAGACUGGGGGACUUGAGUUCGGGAGAGGAGAGUGGAAUUCCCAGUGUAGAGGUGAAAUUCGUAGAUAUUGGGAAGAACACCGGUGGCGAAGGCGGCUCUCUGGACCGACACUGACGCUGAGGCGGCGAAAGCGUGGGGAGCAAACAGGAUUAAGAAACCC